ensembl:snRNA U6 U6 spliceosomal RNA
GUUCUCUUCGGCAGCACAUAUGUUAAAAUUGGAACGAUUCAGAAAAGGUUAGCGUGGCCCCUGUGCAAAGAUGACGUGCAAAUUCAUGAAGUGUUCCAUAUUUUA